rnacentral:rRNA from 1 species
GUCCACGCGGUAAACGAUGAAUGUUAGGUGUUGCGGGUAUCGACCCCUGCAGUGCCGGAGUAAACACAAUAAACAUUCCGCCUGGGGAGUACGGCCGCAAGGUUGAAACUCAAAGGAAUUGACGGGGGCCCGCACAAGCAGCGGAGCAUGUUGUUUAAUUCGAAGCAACGCGAAGAACCUUACCAGGUCUUGACAUCGGAUUAAAGCCCAAGAGAUUGGGUGUGACUUCGGUCGAAUCCAGACAGGUGGUGCAUGGUUGUCGU